GUAUGGCUCAGUGGUAGAGCACUUGCCUGGUGAGCAGGAGGUCCUAGGUUUGAUGCCUGGCAC
rnacentral:tRNA from 1 species